rnacentral:rRNA from 1 species
AGCAGCCGCGGUAAUUCCAGCUCCAAUAGCGUAUAUUAAAGUUGUUGCAGUUAAAAAGCUCGUAGUUGAAUUUCGGGGUUAGUAGGCUGGUCAUGCCUCUGGUAUGUACUGGUCUCACUGAUUCCUCCUUCCUGAUGAACCUUAAUGCCAUUAAUUUGGUGUUUUGGGGAAUUUGGACUGUUACUUUGAAAAAAUUAGAGUGUUUAAAGCAAGCUAACGCUUGAAUACAUUAGCAUGGGAUAAUGAAAUAGGACGUUCGAUCCUAUUUUGUUGGUUUCUAGGAUUGACGUAAUGAUUAAUAGGGAUAGUUGGGGGCAUUAGUAUUCAAUUGUCAGAGGUGAAAUUCUUGGAUUUAUUGAAGACUAACUACUGCGAAAGCAUUUGCCAAGGAUGUUUUCAUUAAUCAAGAACGAAAGUUAGGGGAUCGAAGACGAUCAGAUACCGUCGUAGUCUUAACCAUAAACUAUGCCGACUAGGGAUCGGAUGAUGUUAAUUUUUUAAUGACUC